CUUUUUGCAGCUUCAAAAUAAUUGUUUGGCAGCUGAAGCCAGUAAGCCAGAGGAGAAGCUGGGCAAGAAGCGGGGCACUAAAUGCUCGUGCAUCGGAGAUUAGCGAAAAAUUCGCGCAGAUUAACCUCCCCAUCACCGCAUUACUUCCCCGUCCCCUUGCUUUCCGCCUCCAUCUCGCUAGAUCCAGGCGUCCUCUGAUGAACCCCCGACGCCAUCGGAACAAGGCACCGCCACCACAAACAUUACGAAGCCAUCCUGAAGGCCAUCCGUCGGUCAACGUCGCUCUUCCGAUCCCUUGCCGCAGAACCGCCACCUCGGAGCCUCGCGAUGGCUGUGCCACGGUGAUCUUCCGUGCGGCCGGCAGUGCGCUGGGCGAGCAUGGCUGCCACAGCGCCCGACACCAGCACCUGCUGUGGCGUGGGAGGAACUGCGCCGCUGCCAGGCGAGGCACUGCCUGCAAGGGAACGAGAGUCAGGCCACCAGUGUCAAGGAGCCAUGGACGUGGACAAGGAUCAACCUCCCACGGUACGGAAGAAGCAAGCAAAUGAGUUGGCAAAGACACCAUGCCUGAAAUCAUGAAAGGGAAAACGCACAAUUUGAAUGAACAUCAUGGAGAUCUCUUGUUGGACUUUGGUGCCGAGAACCACAAAAGGAAGAUAAAAAAAAAUAGAAUUAUGGGAGGCUGUUCAGAAGAAAAAGAAUGGCAAUAAUGGGGAGAUUGAGAAGUGAAGCCGCGAGUGGAAAGACGGCGAAGAACGGGCAAUGAGGCAAAGGUUUUAGUUGGCAGCGAAUAAAUUUAGAAAUAUUCGUCACUUUAUCUAUGUUUCUUUACGAAGACAAUUUUCUUGUUGAUUGUAUUUUAAAUAUUGGACAUGUUGGUUCUUAAUUGAAGUACUCAAUUUAUUUUUUAGUGAA